rnacentral:rRNA from 2 species
CCUUUACCGGGGUCUUGACAUCCGUCUGACAACUCUGGAGAUAGAGCGUUCCCCUGCGGGGGGACAGAGUGACAGGUGGUGCAUGGUUGUCGUCAGCUCGUGUCGUGAGAUGUUGGGUUAAGUCCCGCAACGAGCGCAACCCUUGAUCUUAGUUGCCAGCAUUUAGUUGGGCACUCUAAGGUGACUGCCGGUGACAAACCGGAGGAAGGUGGGGAUGACGUCAAAUCAUCAUGCCCCUUAUGACCUGGGCUACACACGUGCUACAAUGGAUGGUACAAAGGGCUGCAAGACCGCGAGGUCAAGCCAAUCCCAUAAAACCAUUCUCAGUUCGGAUUGUAGGCUGCAACUCGCCUACAUGAAGCUGGAAUCGCUAGUAAUCGCGGAUCAGCAUGCCGCGGUGAAUACGUUCCCGGGCCUUGUACACACCGCCCGUCACACCACGAGAGUUUGUAACACCCGAAGUCGGUGGAGUAACCGUAAGGAGCUAGCCGCCUAAGGUGG